CGCGGCCUAUCAGCUUGUUGGUGAGGUAACGGCUCACCAAGGCAUCGACGGGUAGCUGGUCUGAGAGGAUGAUCAGCCACACUGGGACUGAGACACGGCCCAGACUCCUACGGGAGGCAGCAGUAGGGAAUCUUGCGCAAUGGGCGAAAGCCUGACGCAGCAACGCCGCGUGGGGGAUGAAUGCCUUCGGGUUGUAAACCCCUUUCAGCAGGGACGAAAUUGACGGUACCUGCAGAAGAAGGUCCGGCCAACUACGUGCCAGCAGCCGCGGUAAUACGUAGGGACCAAGCGUUGUCCGGAAUUAUUGGGCGUAAAGAGCUCGUAGGCGGUUCAGUAAGUCGGGUGUGAAAACUCAAGGCUCAACCUUGAGACGCCACUCGAUACUGCUGUGACUUGAGUCCGGUAGAGGAGUGUGGAAUUCCUGGUGUAGCGGUGAAAUGCGCAGAUAUCAGGAGGAACACCAGCGGCGAAGGCGGCACUCUGGGCCGGUACUGACGCUGAGGAGCGAAAGCAUGGGGAGCAAACAGGAUUAGAUACCCUGGUAGUCCAUGCCGUAAACGUUGGGCACUAGGUAUGGGAUCAUAUCAACGGAUUCCGUGCCGUAGCUAACGCAUUAAGUGCCCCGCCUGGGGAGUACGG
rnacentral:rRNA from 1 species